CUCCCAUGAUUUUCAUGUAUGCUUCUUCAUCACUCUGUAAUAUUUCUCUGAUUUACUCUGUAAUUCCAAUGCUUAGUCACUGUAUUUUUUGGAUAUAUUACGGUGUAAUGUACCCAUAUUGUAAUUCCAAUGCCUCAUUUUUGUAGUAAAGCUCAUAUUGUAAUUCCCAUGCAUCGUCACUGUAAUUUUCAGCUAUAUUACAGUGUAAUAUGGCCUAGUAUUACAGUGUAAUUUUGGGGUAUUGUACUCUGUAUUUGCCAUGCUUCUCCUAUGUAAUUCCUGUACAACAUUAGUGCGUCUUAUUUGCAACCAUAUAGGUCCUGAUAAGUUUUCUUAUUCUUUGUUGUUAAUGUAGUAUUUGAUUUAGGAUUUAUGUAGCAUUGUUUAAGAGUGUUUUGGUUUUGUAGUUUGAGGAGGGUCCUGGCAACCAGUUUUUUCAUGUUUAAUGGGUAGGCUAUGGAAAGUCUAUCAUUAGGGCGUUCCGUUAGCAUCUUCUUUUGAGAGUGCAGAUUGUUUUGCUGACGAACCAUUUGCGCCUGUCAAUGGAACUUUCAGGUGAUGAAGCAGACUUUGACCAAGCUCUUUUCAAGUUUUAUGUGAACCAAGCUCAUUAUUUCUCUUUUUUGCUUGUUGUUCUUGAGGAUGCUACUGUAGCCACUAAAAAUCCAACCAAUUUUGAGUAGAAAUUCAUAUAUGCCUGGGCUUCUUCUUUUGUUUUGAACUACAUGCCUAACUGUGGCUUAAAAUUGCUGCUGGUGUUCAUAAGAUUGCCUUCUGAUGCAGUCUCUUGUUCAUUUUGCAGGAACCUCUCAAUGUCUUCUUCAUCGAGGUAUUCAUUGUCUGCGUCUUGUUCAUGGUCGGUAUCUUCAGGGACCUGCAAAAUUAUUCUUUUUGUGUCCGUUUUAAUUUUCAAACAGGGAUUAGGUUCUGUUGUGCCUUCUUCGCUUGCUGUAGCUUCAUGAUGCAUUUCCUGCAAUGUCUGCAGUGUAAGUGAGAUGUUACUUUCUCUCUUUUUUCUCAGUUCAGAUAUGAGUUAUUCAGUACUAGUUUUCCUCUCCAUCUUGUGUAAUGUUUGCAGCACCAUCUCCCGAAUGUACCUGUGAGCAUCAUGAUUUCUUUUAAUUUAAAACUUCUCCUUCUCACAGAUUUGUAGCUAUGCAGUAUUUGAAUUUCCAUUUUACCUUGUAGAUAAUGUCUGAAUUGAGGAGCGCUGUGAAUGAAAAUGAUUCCCGCAAAACAUUUUUUGUUAGCAUGAAUGUAUUGUAUAUAGCAUUUUCCUCUAUUGAUUUUUGCAAUCAGUUUGCUAGUAUGUAUACAUGUCUCACAUUUAGAAUGAGUUCUUCUUGUGACAUUGACAGUAGAUCCUCUCCAGUCACUCUUCCUAUCAUGCUCCCCAUCUGCAAUAUUGAAGAUUAAAUGUGAGAGAAUUUUAAUUUUGUAAGCGGC